rnacentral:rRNA from 1 species
UUUAAGCUUCCUACGGGAGGCUGCAGUGGGGAAUAUUGGACAAUGGGCGCAAGCCUGAUCCAGCCAUGCCGCGUGUGUGAAGAAGGCCUUUUGGUUGUAAAGCACUUUAAGCGAGGAGGAGGCUACUUGGAUUAAUACUCUAGGAUAGUGGACGUUACUCGCAGAAUAAGCACCGGCUAACUCUGUGCCAGCAGCCGCGGUAAUACAGAGGGUGCGAGCGUUAAUCGGAUUUACUGGGCGUAAAGCGUGCGUAGGCGGCUUCUUAAGUCGGAUGUGAAAUCCCUGAGCUUAACUUAGGAAUUGCAUUCGAUACUGGGAAGCUAGAGUAUGGGAGAGGAUGGUAGAAUUCCAGGUGUAGCGGUGAAAUGCGUAGAGAUCUGGAGGAAUACCGAUGGCGAAGGCAGCCAUCUGGCCUAAUACUGACGCUGAGGUACAAGUAGCAUGGGGAGCAAACAGGAUUAGAUACCCUGUAGUCGAAUUCUU